ACGCGAGGCCGUAUUGCGUGAUGACGUUCUACAGAGCGGAAGUCGUGUUUGAAGCUGUGGCGGGUUCUGAAAGUAAUGUGUGUGGAGUAUGGAGUCUCCUGUAACAGCGUUGUCUUCUCUGUAUGGACAUGUUCUUUCAGAUGUUACUGCAUAUGUUGAGGUGUGGUCAUCCAACAGAAGAGAAAAUUAUUCUAAAACAUUUUCACAACAGCUGGUUAAUUUAGGUGCAAAGGUUUCGAAAACCUUUAAUAAACACAUUACUCAUGUUGUUUUUAAAGAUGGCCAUCAAGGUACCUGGGACAAGGCUGUCAAGGCUGGUGUGAAACUGGUGUCUGUACUUUGGGUGGAAAGAUGCAGAGAGGCUGCGGCACAUGUAGAUGAAUCUGAAUUUCCAGCAAUCAACACAAAUGAUGGAUUGCCACAGAUUGUUAAAAAGAAACACAAGUGUAUGCAACCCAAGGAUUUUGUUGAGAAAACACCAGAAAAUGAUAGACGAAUGCAAAGAAAAUUUGAUAAAAUGUCUAAAGAACUGAAAGUGCAAAAAGCUGGUGUAGAUGAUCCUGUUUUAUUAUUUGAUCAAUAUGGAACAUUAAUGUACAGCCCAAAGGCUGUGGCUGCUGAUCGUUGCAAUGCAAUGGAAAAAAGAAUUAAAGAAAUGAAAAACAAGAGAGAGAAUCUUUCUCCUACAGCCUCCCAAAUUUCACAGACAUUUGAUUUUCCCCAACUUAAGCCAUCACUUGGAUAUAGUCCUUCUGCCUUGGGGAGCUCUCCACUUGACAAUGGCUGUGACGAUCUUGACACUAGUUAUGAUGAGCUGUGGGGCAGUCUCGAAAAGAAACGGAACAUUUCUAACUACUCAAAGAACAAAGUAACAAGUAAAAAAUCAGUGAUACGUGCAACAGAACUAGAAGAUCCAAAUUGCCUUUUAACAUCUGGCAAGUCAUCUAAUAAUUUGACUCCUCAGCAGAUUAAAGACAAAUUACGGAGGAAUAGUCAUGCAGUCACGUCUUUUCAAAAGAAAAGCAGAAAGUCACUUGCAAGAUCUAAAACAGUUGAGGAGCCAGUUCAAUCCUUUAUGAAUUGUGGUACACAGAGUGCAUUGAAUUCCAAUGUGGAUUAUGAAGCCCUGCCAAACAAACUUACUGUGUGCAAAGAAAAUGAAAGUACUAAGAAAGUAAGAUCAAAUUGCCGGAAAUCCAAAACUCCGACAUCCAAUCUGCACCUCUCAACUGAAAACAUUGUGAUGCCUGAGAUACCAAAACUUAGUGAAUUAAGAAAUGGCUCUGAUUCAGAAGGAGCAUGUUCUAGUUUUGAAGACUUUUUUUCAGCAGAUCUAAAAAGCCAGAAAAGACCAUUUGCUAGAUUUUCCUUAGGAACUCUGCCUCCAGAGUCACCAACCUCACCUUUAUUUAUCAAAAACAAAAAGGGUUCAUCUCGAAAAAGGAGGAGGUCAGUUCAAGAUUUGGAAGAGUGUAAUUGUAGUGGUAAAAGAAGAAGAAAGUCAAUAUGUAGUAAGGAUAAUCUGGUAAAUUCAGAGUUCAAACAUGAUGCCAAGACAAUGUCACCCGUGGCCGACUGUGUUGAAAGGAAUCCUAUAAAAACUAAAAUAAAUAAAACUGCUAAGUCUGAUCAAGUAAACAAUAAAGGAACUACAUCAAGCAGUUUACUAUCUUCUGAAACAAAUUUAAAUACAAAUGAUACAUUAGCAACAUCUACUGAAUUAAAUCAAAAGAAAGAUAUAGGUCUGGUAAAAGGUAUGGAAAAAAUAACUGAAUUGACAACAUGCAAAAAAUCACCAAAUCAGCCUGUGAUGAAAAAUGGUGCAGAGUCUGAAAAGCAAGAAGAUGAGCCAAAAAGCUUUCAGAAAUAUGCCAAAAGUAAAUAUCCAGCCUGUGAUAGUCUUUCUAAAAUCCUUAACGAACAGAGAAAUAAAUGUAAUGACAAUGAGGAAUUGAAGAAAAAAGAGAAAACAAGAAAGAUUUCAGGAUCCUUCGUUAUGACAAGUAUGUGCUCAGAGAGGCAGAAUACUGUAAUACAGGUUGUCAAAACGUUUGGAGGCUUUGUGUUUUCAGACCAUGUGUGUGAAACUACUACUCAUGUGAUAGCUGGGAGUCCACGACGAACUUUAAAUAUAAUUCUAGGAAUUGCUAGAGGUUGCUGGAUAAUUUCCUAUGACUGGGAUGAGACAUUCAAAUUUACACCAGAAGAAGUUACAUGGCCUUUAAGGACUUCCAAGAGUGGCUGCCUUGGUGUUUUAAGGAGGAGAUAACCUUGCUGCGAGCUGUUAUAGUUACCAGAAGGCUGCUGGUGCUGUGGUCCUUGGAGUGUGGACACUGGAUUUCUGAAGAACCUUAUGAACUUUCAGACCAUUUCCCAGCUGCUCCUAUUUGCAGAUUACAACGCCACCUAUCAGCAGGAGAAUACCAGCAGGACUUGCUCUCCAGCCUCCCUGCAGUGUUCAUCUCCCCCGGCAGCCAGCCACCUUGUGACAAGCUCUCUGAAGUAGUGCAGCUGUGCGGAGGCAAAGUGUGCAAAGCAAUACGGCAAGCCAAGGUCUGCAUUGGGGAAUUCAAUGGGAAAAGGGCUCCUGAUGUUCUGUACGUCUCUGAAAAGUGGUUACUUGAUUCUGUCACACAGCACAAGCUGCAUCCUUUAGAAAAUUACCUCUUGAAUCACUGAGAUUUGUUAGACAAGGAAAAGGUAUUUCCAUGUAAUCAAUUCAACUAUCAAAAUAAAGCUGUGAAGGAAUGGUGAUAUGAAAACAUUGCUAUUUAAGAAAAAUGAAAUGUGUUUUUAAUACUUUUAGUAUUUAUCCUAUUUUAUAGAUGUAUAAAAAUCUGUUGGGUGACAAUAUGAUUUGUUAAUAAAAUGCAUUCAACAUGGG